rnacentral:rRNA from 1 species
AAGCUCGUAGUUGAAUUUCGGGAUCAAUAUUUCGGUCAUGCCGUUGGUAUGCACUGUUAUCAUUGAUUUCUCACCUUCUAAAGAACCGUGAUGCCAUUAAUUUGGUGUUACGGGGAAUUAGGACUGUUACCUUGAAAAAAUUAGAGUGUUUAAAGCAGGCUCACGCUUGAAUACAUUAGCAUGGAAUAAUGAAAUAGGACAUCCGAUUCUAUUUUGUUGGUUUCUAGGAUCGAUGUAAUGAUUAAUAGGGAUAGUUGGGGGCAUUAGUAUUCAAUUGUCAGAGGUGAAAUUCUUGGAUUUAUUGAAGACUAACUACUGCGAAAGCAUUUGCCAAGGAUGUUUUCAUUAAUCAAGAACGAAAGUUAGGGGAUCGAAGACGAUCAGAUACCGUCGUAGUCUUAACCAUAAACUAUGCCGACUAGGGAUCGGAUGAUGUUAAUUUUUUAAUGACUCAUUCGGCGCCUUACGGGAAACCAAAGUGUUUGGGUUCCGGGGGGAGUAUGGUCGCAAGGCUGAAACUUGAAGGAAUUGACGGAAGGGCACCACCAGGGGUGGAGCCUGCGGCUUAAUUUGACUCAACACGGGGAAA